AUGACAGAAAGUACAACUGCUGGCACAACAACUUCAGAAAGUACAACACCAGAGACCACAACAAGAGAAAGUACCACCCCCGGGACAACAACCGAGACCACAACAACAGAAAGUACCACCACAGUCACCACAACUGAGAUCACAACAACAGAAGGAGCCACCACUCCGGAAAGUACUACCACAGAGACCACAACAACAGAAAGCACCAUCACCGGUACCACAACUCCAGAAAGCCCCACAAUGACAGAAAGUACAACCACUGGUACCACCACUACAGAGAGUACACCAAUGGAAACCACAACAACAGAAAGUACUACCACCGGCACACCAACCAAGGCCAUAACAAUAGAAAGUACCACCAAUGGAACCACAACAGAGAUCACUACAACAGAAGGCACUACCAAUCCAGAAAAUAUUACCACAGAGACCACAACAACAGAAAGUACCACCAUCGGUACCACAACUCUAGAAAGCACCACAAUGAUAGAAAUUACAACCACUGGCACCACCACUCCAGAAAGUACAACAACGGAGACCACAAAAACAGAAAGCACCACUAUUGCUACCACAACUCCUGAAAGCACCACAAUGUUAGAAAAUACAACCACAGGCACAACCGUUUCAGAAACUACAACAACACAGACCACAAUAACAGAAAGUACCACCACAACUGAGAUCACAACAACAGAAGGCACCACCACUACAGAAAGUACUACCACUGGCACCACCACCCCAGAAAGUACAGCAAUGGAGAUCACAACAACAGAAAGCACCACCACUGGUACCACAACACCCGAAAGCACCACAAUGACAGAACGUACAACCACUGGCACCACAACAACAGAAAGCACCACCACUGGUUUCACAACUCCAGAAAGCACCGCAAUGACAGAAAGUACAACCAGUGGCACCACCACUUCAGAAAGUACAACAACAGAGACCACAACAACAGAAAGCACAACCCCUGAAAUUACAACUUCAGAAAGUACAACAAUGGAAACCACAACUACAGAAAGCACCACAACAGACACUACAAAAACAGAAAGCACCACCACAGAUACCACAACACCAGAAAGCACAACAACUGAGACCACAACAACAGAAGGCACCACCACUACAGAAAGUACUACCACUGGCACCACCACACCAGAAAGUACAACAAUGGAGAUCACAACAACAGAAAGUACCAGCACAACUGAGUUCACAACAACAGAAGGCACCACCACUACAGAAAGUACUACCAUAGAUAACACAACAACAGAAAGCACCACAAUGACAGCACAUACAACCACUGGCACCACCACUCCAGAAAGUACAAAAAAGCAGACCACAACAACAGAAGAUGCCACCACAACUGAGAUCACAACAGAAGAAACCACCACUACAGAAAGUAGUACUAUAGAGACCACAACAACAGAAACCACCACCACUGGUACCACAACUCCAGAAAGCACCGCAAUGACAGAAAGUACAACCAGUGGCACCUACACAACAGAGACCACAACAACAGAAAGCAGCACCCCUGGAAUUACAACUUCAGAAAGUACAACAAUGGAAACCACAAAUACAGACGAUACCAUAACUACAGAAAGCACCACAACAGACACUAUAACAACAGAAAGCACGACCAAAGGUACCACAAAACCAGAAAGCACAACAACUGAGACCACAACAAUAGAAAGCACCACCACAGGCACCACAACAGAGACCAUAACAACAGAAAGCACCACCACUGGUUCUACAACUCCAGAAAGCACAACAGUGUUAGAAAGUACAACCACUGGCACCACUACUCCAGAAAGUACAACAACAGAGACCACAACAACAGAAAGUACCACCCCCGAGACAACAACAGAGACCACAACAAUAGAAAGUACCACCACAACUGAGAGCACAACAACAGAAGGAACCACCACUACAGAAAAUACUACCACAGAGAUCACAACAACAGAAAGCACUAACACCGGUAUCACAACUUCAGAAAGCACCACAAUGACAGAAAGUACAACAACAGAAAGUACCACCACUGGUAUUACAACUUCAGAAAGUCCAACAAUGGAAUCCAAAUUUACAGAAACCACCACACCAGACACUACAACCACAGAAAACACCACUACAGGUACCACAACACCAGAAAGCACAACAACCGAGACCACACCAAUAGAAAAUACCACCACAGGCCCCAUAACAGAUAUCAUAAAAACAGAAACCACCAUCACUGGUUCUACAACUCCAGAAAGCACAACCGUUUUAGAAAGUACAACCACUGGCACCAAUACUCCAGAAAGUACAACAACGGAGACCACAACAACAGAAAGUACCACCCCCGGGACAACAACCGAGACCACAACGAUAGAAAGUACCACGACUGGCACCACAACAGAGCUCACGACAGCAGAAGGGACCACGACUCCAGACAGUACUACCACAGAGACCACAACAAUAGAAAGCACAACCAUUGGUACCACAACUCCAGAAAGCUCCACAAUGACAGAAAGUACAACCACUGGCACCACCACUUCAGAAAGUACAACAAUGGAAACAACAACUACAAAAAGCACCACAACAGACACUACAACAACAGAAAGCACCACCACAGGUACCUCAACACCAGAAAGUACAACCACUGGCACCACCACUUCAGAAAGUACAACAAUGGAAACAACAACUACAAAAAGCACCACAACAGACACUACAACAACAGAAAGCACC
ensembl:lncRNA